UACGUAGGUGGCAAGCGUUGUCCGGAUUUACUGGGCGUAAAGAGCGCGCAGGCGGUCGUUCAAGUCGCGUGUGAAAGCCCCCGGCUCAACUGGGGAGGGUCACGCGAUACUGAUCGACUGGAAGGCAGGAGAGGGUAGUGGAAUUCCCGGUGUAGUGGUGAAAUGCGUAGAUAUCAGGAGGAACACCUGGGGCGAAAGCGGCUCACUGGACCACAACUGACGCAGAGGCGCGAAAGCGAGGGGAGCAAACAGG
rnacentral:rRNA from 1 species